GUAGAGACAGGGUUUCACCAUGCUGACCAGGCUGGUCUUGAACUCCUGACCUCAUAAUCCUCCCGCCUCGGCCUCCCAAAGUGUUGGGAUCACAGGUGUGAGCCACCGUGUCCGGCCCAGAGCACUUUCUACUCCACCUCUGCACCUCUUUGACUGCUCUGUCAUUAAUAUCACUGAUUUUCUUUUGGGCCAGUUUUUAGUUCUGGCUUAUACUGAAACUAACGGACAUGCCACCUGAUGUGGACAGAGGUAGCUUAGAGGAUGUGGUCACGUUUUGGGAAUCCAGUAUGGAGACUGAGAUCCAGCAUUAACCGUGGCUGAGAUCUAUCUCGAUCACAUGCACACAUAUGUGUUCUCUCUCAAACACAUGCACACAUAUGUGUUCUCUCUCGAACACAUGCACACCUGUACACCCACGUGCAUUUAAGUAGAAACAAUUGAGGGCUGCUAAUCCAAUCAAACAGUUGAUCUCUUCCAGUCGCUGGAAAGGCAGCAGAGAGGGCAUGGGAACAGACACGCCUGGAUGAGGAACUCCAGCUCCACCUACUUAACAGCUGUGUGAUCUUGGAUGUGCCAUUUGUUCUCUUGCCUCAGUUCGUUCAUCUGUGAAGUGGAGCAAACAUCACAUCCCUGGUGGUUGUGAAGAUUAACCAUGAUCAUGUGUAUGUGGCACAUACUGUUACUUACCUACCUGUUAUCCCUUAAGUCACUGGGGUGAAGGUUUGAAAACACUUGUGAAAGAGGGUGGUGUCAGCUGAUGUAUACAUUUCUCUGUUUGUCUUUCAUUUUUCUUACUGUUCAAGUGAAAUGCCAGAAGGUUGAGCUUCAGUCUAGUGACCAGGAAGGCAAGGGGCACAUGCUAGAAAUAGAAGACAAUGGUGCCUUGGUCUCUAUUGGUAGAUUGAAUGAUUUAUUAAAAACAUAUUCACAGUGCCUUUCUGUAGGACCCCAGCUCCUGCCACUUCACGGGAUAGGACAGCACUCCCACGCCAUUCAAUCAGGCAUGGCCGUAUGUCUUGCAUUAGCCAGUGGGAUGUGAGCAGAAGUGACUAUGCCCUGCUUGAGAAGAAGUUCAGUGCCAUCCCGUGAUUUUACUUUUCCUUUGACAUGAGGCCGCAAGUCCCAGAGAGGGGCUGCUCCUUCUGCUUGGACCUCAGAAAGAAGUGCAUCACAUCUUGCCUGGAUGACUGCAGUAGCCACUAAGCUGGUCGCAGAGUGAGCUUUCUUAAAUGCAAAUGUAAGGAUGGCAGAGCCUCAAGUGCUUCAGUUUCUCCAAGUGCCUAUUCCCUGAGUGGCAUGACACUGAAGGCCCUCUGAGUCUGCAGCUAUCUUUCCACUCUCAUUGGUGUGUACACCUGGAGCUGUCACUUUUUCAAUAAUGCAUUUCUGACUCCCUCAUCAACAAAGGUAUUUACUCCUUCCUCCUUGCUGCCAGUAAACCACUGAGAACAUGCCCUCCUUUGGUAUUUCAAUGGCAUUUGUAAUUAUGUGUCUUUCCCUGUCUUCCUCACUGAUCUGUGAACUCCAGCACGCAGGAAACUUGUCUUAUUCUCUUUCACAUCAAACAGGGUCUGGCCCUAAUAAGUACUAAAGAAAUGUUUGCUGAAUGAAUAAACACUAAUAUUUCUU